rnacentral:lncRNA from 1 species
CAAUGCAAGUCGUUGCUGGCCUUGAAAAUUUAGCCAACCCUAGCUACAAAAUCGCUGGCUAGAGCUCCAUUGUUAUGUUCAGCAGCUUCAAAGAGAGCUUGAUGACCGACUUCCCCUACACAAAUGCCCUGUUGAUUGCAUUUUGAUCCUUCAAGUCUAUAGAGUACUGAUUACUUUUGUACCUUCAAGCUGUAACAUGUGAGUUGUAACUGUUGCUAGGUCCUAGCUAU